UUAUAAUUACUUAAGUCGUGGAUUAUUUCCGGCUUGUGAGGAGAAUUAAAUCUACGGAUUUAAUUUAGAUUUAUUUUACAGUCCAUCGAUGCUAGCAAGCAAGAAAUCAAAUAUCGUGCGAGUAUAUAUAUAUACGCUACAUUAGUAAGAAUUCAAGAUUAGUAUUUCAUUAAGCGCGUUACUGUACUACAAGUUUAUAAUUCCCAAGAGGCAAGAGCUGUACUUCAGCCAUAUCCCACAUUACUACACAUCAAAUGCAACACCAUUCCUUGUUUAAUACCAUCAGCCGACAAGGAAUCAAUAAAGGAAAAUCAUUAAAGCAAUAAAGGAAAAUCAUUAAGGUUAGUGGAAAGAAAUAAGUGUGCUGCCACCAUCCUUUGUUCCCCACCUCUUCAACCACCAAAAGCCAUGCUUUCUCUCCCUCUACAGCCACCAACUUCACUCCUUAUUAUAUCACCCACCAAAUCCUUUUCUCUUUACGCAUCAACAGCUUGAGGAAGUUGUCAUAAUUGCUGCAAGAUUCGAGAGCUAUCUUCUCAUUGAACUCAACAUCACCGCAGCCAACCAAAAGCACAAACAUUCAAGGUCGAGCGCAAGAAUAAGAGCUCGUCAAGGAGUCACUAAUCUGUAGCAAAGCUUUGCUAUCAGGUGGGUUACUUUCAUAUAUAUC